rnacentral:rRNA from 1 species
GACGAACGCUGGCGGCGUGCCUAAUACAUGCAAGUAGAACGCUGAAGCUUGGUGCUUGCACCGAGCGGAUGAGUUGCGAACGGGUGAGUAACGCGUAGGUAACCUGCCUGGUAGCGGGGGAUAACUAUUGGAAACGAUAGCUAAUACCGCAUAAGAGUAGAUGUUGCAUGACAUUUGCUUAAAAGGUGCAAUUGCAUCACUACCAGAUGGACCUGCGUUGUAUUAGCUAGUUGGUGAGGUAACGGCUCACCAAGGCAACGAUACAUAGCCGACCUGAGAGGGUGAUCGGCCACACUGGGACUGAGACACGGCCCAGACUCCUACGGGAGGCAGCAGUAGGGAAUCUUCGGCAAUGGACGGAAGUCUGACCGAGCAACGCCGCGUGAGUGAAGAAGGUUUUCGGAUCGUAAAGCUCUGUUGUAAGAGAAGAACGAGUGUGAGAGUGGAAAGAUCACACUGUGACGGUAUCUUACCAGAAAGGGACGGCUAACUACGUG